rnacentral:rRNA from 1 species
AUUGAACGCUGGCGGCAGGCCUAACACAUGCAAGUCGAACGAGUGGCGGACGGGUGAGUAAUGUAUGGGAAACUGCCUGAUGGAGGGGGAUAACUACUGGAAACGGUAGCUAAUACCGCAUACUAUCAGAUGUGCCCAUAUGGGAUUAGCUAGUUGGGGGGGUAACGGCUCACCAAGGCGACGAUCCCUAGCUGGUCUGAGAGGAUGACCAGCCACACUGGAACUUAGACACGGCCCAGACGCCUACGGGAGGCAGCAGUGGGGAAUAUUGCACAAUGUGCGCAAUCCUGAUGCAGCCAUGCCGCGUGUAUGAAGAAGGCCUUAGGGUUGUAAAGUACUUUCAGCGGGGAGGCGUUACCCGCAGAAGAAGCACCGGCUAACUCCGUGCCAGCAGCCGCGGUAAUAC